ensembl:snRNA U6 U6 spliceosomal RNA
GUGCUGGCUUCGGCAGCACAUAUACUAAAAUUGGAAUGAUACAGAGAAGAUUAGCAUGGCCCCUGAAAAAAAAAAAAAAAAAAAGAAAUUGCCACACUGUCU